rnacentral:lncRNA from 1 species
CUGACUUAGCAUUAGAAAAACCCAAAAAUUAGGGGUUUGAAGGGACGACUCUCUCACACUCUUAUCUUCAACAAAAAAUCGGAGGCCUUCCCCCUUGGUAGCUAGCCGUUGCUGAUGGUCUCAAAGAAGAAAUAGAGAGAAAGACUUUUCCCCAUGGAAAACCCCCAGAGUCGUCCAUAAUUCCCCCUUCUCUAACAAAAAACAGACCCGUCUUCAAGAACAAUUCCCCCCUUUAGACAAACGCUGGCCGCCUCCAAAAUUUCCUCUCUAAUCUAGCUCUCCUCUCAAUAUUUAUUCCGCAUUAGAUUCCCUCAUUUUCUUACCCAUUCUCAGAAAACUCUCAAAUUCCAUAUCUGAGGAAAACAACUCCGAAAACUAAAGAAAAAGUUCAAAAAAAGAGAGUCAAAAGUUGUUUUCAAUUUCAAUUGGUUGUUGCAUAUUUUCGGGGUUAAAAGCUUUUUUAAUCGAAGAAAUUACUGUUUGGUACUGGUCGAUUUUGCCAUGGAGUGCUGCCAUUGUUGUUGUUGUCACGUUGAGAUUCAUUCGGCCCUUUUGUCUAGCCUUUAUUUUGCGUUUUUAGUCAAUUCUCGCACAGCUAGGUAUGUAUUCCAACUUGCAUACCCAUAUUUGAUUUGUUAUGAGAUUAUGACCAUAGUAUUAACUUCUGAUGUCUCUUGAUUUGUUAUUGUGGAUCAUACUCCAUGAGCUAAUGUAUGAAACUUUCGUAUGUAUUGACUCCAAAAUCAAUAUGUUAUCAUGCCUUCAUUAGAUUAUUAUAUGCAAUAUAUACUACAUAGAUGUUAGGAAAGGAGAAACUCGUGAUUUUAAUGCUAAUGGCUUUGCAAACUUGUCCAUCACUGUUUUAGGUCAAUCAUUUAGGUUUAAAAUAGUGACAAAGGUGUUUGGUGUAAGUCUAUAUCGAAUAUUACAUGCUUUUGUUCUUUAUAAAAUUGGUGUGAAUAAAAUAUAUAUUUUACAAUUUUAUAACGACUCGGUCAGUCUUUUUAAGAAUUAAUGCCCUGAUACCCUAUUAACUACUUUUUCGUAUUUAUUUCUGCUAUUUUAAUUUGUCGGGAUGUUCGAUUUUGAGUUACGGAGAUUUUUGGGAUACUUAGUCCCGAAAUGAUAGCUUAAGUUUAGAAAUUUGACCGCAGUCAGAAUAGUGUGAAGACAAACUUGGAAUGGAAUUUCGAUGGUUUCGUUUGCUUUGUUGGGUGAUUUCAGGCUUAGGGGCGUGUUCGGAUUGUAUUUUGGAGGUCCGUAAUGUUUAAUGUGACGUGUGUACAAAAUUUCAGGUCAUUUGGACAAGGUUUGAUAGACUUUUUGGUCAAAAGCAUAAAUUUAGAGCUUUGAAGUUCUUAGGCUUGAAUCCAUAGUUGAUUUAUCGUUUCGAUGUUGUUUUAGGUGUUUUAAGGAUUGAUAUAAGUUUGGACAGUGGUAUUAGACUUGUUUGUGUUUUUGGUUGAGGUCUCGAGGGCCUCAGGAUGGUUUGGGAAGGAUACCAAGAGAUCCCGGGGAUACCAAGAGAUCCUCGGCAAUCAUCCAUGUUACAAGCGGUGUUUCCUUGUGUUUGCCUUUAUUUCUUUUUCUGUUAUUGUAUUCUUAUCAUCCUAUAUAGACUCUUACGGUAGAUUCUUAGAUAUACUAUUUAUCUUAACCUGUAAUUUUUAUUAUUAUUAUUUAUCUCAGUAGGGCCCUGACCUUCCUCGUCACUACCCGACCGGGGUUAGGCUUGUAACUUACUGAGUACCGAUAUGGUGUACUCAUGCCCUUUCUGCGCAUGUUUUUCAUAUGUAGAUCCAAGAACCUCUACCCAGGCUCAUCACUCUUGAGGUAGGGAGAUUCUUCGGAGACUUCGAGAUACAUCUUCAACGUCCACAGACCAAGGAGUCUCUAUCUUUAUUCUACCAUGUAGUGUUAGUUUUUCCAUCUCACUGUUAAUGUAGACAUUCUGGAGAUUAGAGCACUUUAAUGUAUUUCUUCUAGCUUGUGUUCUCCGUGAGUUUUCGAGUUUUGGGAUAGUGUUGUAAGAUUUUGAGAUGUUGAGCUGUAUAUGCUGAGUGAAAUCUUAUAUUUCGUUUUCUUUUGGUUAUUCUUGGCUUUAAAUUUAUAUUUUCACAAGUUUUGAUUAUUUUUCGCACUUGUUAGGCUUACCUAGUCGUAGAGACUAGGUGCCGUCAUGAGAGUUCACGGAGGGAAAACUAGGGUCGUG